rnacentral:ncRNA from 2 species
AUUCAUCUUCGGGGCAGGGUGAAAUUCCCGACCGGCGGUGAUGAAGCCAAUGCGCUUCUCAGCCCGCGAGCCGUUUUGGCACGAUCCGGUGCGAUUCCGGAGCCGACAGUAUAGUCUGGAUGGGAGAAGAUGAAG